UUGUGGAGGAGGACGCCGAAGGUGGGGCUGAUGACUGGGGUGAAGUCGUAACAAGGUAGCCGUACCGGAAGGUGCGGCUGGAUCACCUCCUAACAGGGAGACAUAAACUGAUUAUGAUGUCUGAUUUAUAAAUUAGGCCUUAAUCCUGUCACCUUAGGUCGAUCGGUACCUCUGAUUAAAUACUUCAAAAGUGAGAAAUUGCUUUAUUUAGUUGUUAAUUUCAGUUCCUAAACUUGUCUAGGUCACACCCAACAAACUUUCUCCUGGGCUAUUAGCUCAGGCGGUUAGAGCGCACCCCUGAUAAGGGUGAGGUCCCUGGUUCAAGUCCAGGAUGGCCCAUUCCGUUGUUGGGGGUAUAGCUCAGUUGGUAGAGCGCCUGCUUUGCAAGCAGGAUGUCAGCGGUUCGAGUCCGCUUACCUCCACUGAUCAACCUCCUGAUAACGAACUCGCAGGAGAUUUCCGCUGGAUGUGAUUUAGUAUUUUGUUCCUGAUGAUUGAACCUAGCUUCUUAUCAUUCCCUAAUAGCUAAAUAUCUUUAGUACAGGUUGAUAUGAUGCUGGGCUCUCUGUGAUUUUUAAAUUGCAGAGGUCUUCAGUAGAACCUUGACAACUGCAUAGGUAAGUCUGGAAAGAAUAAAGCAUCUCAUAGAUGCAUUUUCUUUUGAUUCAAUUGAGGUUUUCUGUUAACGCAGAAUUACCACGUUGAUGAAAAAGUUUAAUGUUCAAUUCUUGAGUAAGAGCCGAGACUCUAUAGCAUCCUUUUAAUUAUUUAAAUCGAGACUAUUAGAGUUCAUAUGGUCAAGCUACAA
rnacentral:misc_RNA from 1 species